rnacentral:rRNA from 1 species
UACGGAGGGUGCAAGCGUUAUCCGGAUUCACUGGGUUUAAAGGGUGCGUAGGCGGGCAGGUAAGUCCGUGGUGAAAUCUUUGGGCUUAACCCGAAAACUGCCAUUGAUACUAUCUGUCUUGAAUAUUGUGGAGGUUUGCGGAAUAUGUCAUGUAGCGGUGAAAUGCUUAGAUAUGACAUAGAACACCUAUUGCGAAGGCAGCAAACUACGCAUAUAUUGACGCUGAGGCACGAAAGCGUGGGGAUCAAACAGG